UACGGGGGGUGCGAGCGUUGUCCGGAAUUACUGGGCGUAAAGGGCGCGUAGGCGGCCUUCUAAGUCGAACGUGAAAUCCCCGGGCUCAACCCGGGAACUGCGUCCGAUACUGGGAGGCUUGAAUCCGGGAGAGGGAUGUGGAAUUCCAGGUGUAGCGGUGAAAUGCGUAGAUAUCUGGAGGAACACCGGUGGCGAAGGCGGCAUCCUGGACCGGUAUUGACGCUGAGGCGCGAAAGCCAGGGGAGCAAACGGG
rnacentral:rRNA from 1 species